GUGGAUCAAUUGGCGUGUGUCGUGAAACAAACCACCACAAAAUCAGAGUGCUCUGGAAGGAGAACCCAAGCACUUCUUCGACCAACUACCUCUGAGUCCUGCGAAGAAAACACCAAUUGGUACAGGCACUGGAAUAAAGAGCACCAUGUUAAAGUCCUGAAAACACUGGCCAGGGAAUCAUGCCUAUUUUCAUUUCCUUUCUAUUCGAGGAAGUAGGCAUUCUCCGUUAAUCUAAUGGAAAAGUAUGGACCUUGGAAUCAAAAGACUUGGGUUCAAAUCUCAGUACAUUCCCUUUCCAGGAAACGUGCUCGUGCUGAAUAUUGUGGGUACAAUGAAAACUGGAUAAAUGGACUUGAAGACUUGGAUUCAAGUCUUGUUUCAUCGCCUUUGGUUAAGUCACUUAACAUCUCUGAGCCUCAACUCCCUCAUCUGCCACUUAGGCCUACUUCAAAGAACUUAGACCGUACUACACCACUCCCCAAGUGGACGUUCAAGGUCAGGAGCCUCAUGGGACCAGCAGGUCUGUCCAGUUCUGCAGGACUGAGCUGUUUAUCGUUGCAGAGGACACUCAUCACUGCAUUAAUUACAUUAAUUGCUGCCCACUCUGGGGCUAGGUGGGUGGCUUAACAAUACCUAGCAACGUGGUAAUGAUGCCUGGGCCUGCCUUUCUGGAUCAAAACAUCUGACUCCCCCCGCCCCCCCACACCUUUUAAACUCCUUCCCAUGGUGGCCAAAGAUAGUAAUUAUAGGUCCUAUUGGUUGGGAGUUAGUGACUCUCUACCUUGUAGGGGAAAGGUCAAGACUCUGAACUUUGCCCUCCAUCAACAUCAGGUGUGUGCUUGACAUUUUAUUUAAGGAAUCUUUUAUAAUCCUCGUGACAGCUCAGAAGUAGGUAUUAUAUUAUCCUUGUUUGGUUUAUAGGGGAACUCAGUCACCUCUUGGAGAUAUGUAGCUGGGAAGGACUGGAAACAGGCUUAGAACUCAGGACUGUUGGAGGACAGAUUUGGCUUCCACAUAUUUCCCUACAUCAGAGCACUUCUCACCAGGAGACUUUUUCCUCCCUUUGUUUGGAAUUUGAAUUACCAGUAUAUUUGAGUCUGCAUUUUCAGAGAAGCAAGGCCCUGGGGACUGGUGUUUUGAGGAGUCCUCUAUUGCUAAGUGAUGAAAAUGUGGCAUUUCAACCUUCCACCUAUCACCCUUUCCCUGAGCUUCCCAAGGAAAUGUUAACACAGUGGUACAGUUGGCUUUUUAAGAAGUAAUUUGAGGACUACAUUCGUGUACUUCUUGGGAAUGGACAAGAUGGCUUUGGUAGUUCAUUAUAAUUGGGCAGAUGACCUACCUUCCUCAAAGACCCAGAUAACAGAGGUUAAUUUAGGAAGUAAUUGACUUUGGAAUGUUGUGUAUGCAUGCACUUUUUGGGUGUGUCCAUAUCUAUAUGUAUAUGUA